rnacentral:rRNA from 1 species
GAUGAACGCUGGCGGCGUGCCUAAUACAUGCAAGUCGAGCGAACGGACGAGAAGCUUGCUUCUCUGAUGUUAGCGGCGGACGGGUGAGUAACACGUGGAUAACCUACCUAUAAGACUGGGAUAACUUCGGGAAACCGGAGCUAAUACCGGAUGAUAUUUUGAACCGCAUGGUUCAAAAGUGAAAGACGGUCUUGCUGUCACUUAUAGAUGGAUCCGCGCUGCAUUAGCUAGUUGGUAAGGUAACGGCUUACCAAGGCAACGAUGCAUAGCCGACCUGAGAGGGUGAUCGGCCACACUGUAACUGAGACACGGUCCAGACUCCUACGGGAGGCAGCAGUAGGGAAUCUUCCGCAAUGGGCGAAAGCCUGACGGAGCAACGCCGCGUGAGUGAUGAAGGUCUUCGGAUCGUAAAACUCUGUUAUUAGGGAAGAACAUAUGUGUAAGUAACUGUGCACAUCUUGACGGUACCUAAUCAGAAAGCCACGGCUAACUACGUG